AAGGCUUUAGCUUAAUUAAAGUAUCUGUUUUGCAUGCAGAAGAUGUGAGGUAAUACCUCGCAAGUCUUA
rnacentral:tRNA from 1 species